AGUUUGAUGAAAAAGAAAACUUUUCUAUAUGGAAAGUUUGGGUAGAAGAUCUUUUGGUUCAAGCAGAUCUGGAUCAAACAUUGGAGGAGAAGUUUGAAGGGAUGAUGGAUCAUCAAUGGAGGUCCCUGGAGAAGAAGGCUUGUUUUGUGAUUAGAAGAUAUUUGGCGGAUACGGCACUCUAUUUAGUUUUAGAGGAGAGG
rnacentral:lncRNA from 1 species